UACGUAGGGUGCGAGCGUUAAUCGGAAUUACUGGGCGUAAAGCGUCCGCAGGUGGCAGUUCAAGUCUGCUGUCAAAGACCGGGGCUUAACUUCGGAAAGGCAGUGGAAACUGAACAGCUAGAGUAUGGUAGGGGCAGAGGGAAUUCCUGGUGUAGCAGUGAAAUGCGUAGAUAUCAAGUGGAACACCAGUGGCGAAGGCGAAUCCCUGGAAAAUACCUGACACUGAGGCACGAAAGCUAGGGGAGCAAACAGG
rnacentral:rRNA from 1 species